CGGGUCUUGUACACACCGCCCGUCAUACCAUGGGAGUGGGUUGCAAAAGAAGUGGGUAGCUUAUCUGGGCGCUCACCACUUUGUGAUUCAUGACUGGGGUAAAGUCGUAACAAGGUAACCCUAGCGGAAGCUGGGGUUGGAUCACCUCCUUA
rnacentral:rRNA from 2 species